rnacentral:lncRNA from 1 species
AGCCAUCUCAACAAGAAGAUGUCUUUCUGCAAACCAGGAAAAGAGCCCUCACCAGCCAUCAGAUCUGCUGGCACCUUGAACUUGGACUUCCCAGCCUCCAGGACUCGACUGAAGACUGACACAGCCCGAUCGCCUCGGAAGCCCCCUGGGCCAUCAUGGACGCCGAGCUUCGGGUAACUCUUACAGUGGAGGACAGGAAUGUCAGGCCUCUGAGCCCAAGCUAAGCCAUCAUAUCCCCAGUGACCUGCACGUAUAUAUCAAGAUGGCCUGAAGCAACUGAAGAUCCACAGAAGUGAAAAUAGCCUUAACUGAUGACAUUCCACCAUUGUGAUUUGUUUCUGCCCCACCUUAACUGAUCAAUGUACUUUGUAAUCUCCCCCACCCUUAAGAAGGUUCUUUAUAAUGUCACCCACCCUUAAGAAGUUUCUUUGUAAUUCUCCCCACCCUUGAGAAUGUACUUUGUGAGAUCCAUCCCCUGCCCCCAAAACAUUGCUCUUAACUCUACUGCCUAUCCCAAAACCUAUAAGAACCAAUGAUAAUCCCACCACCCUUUGCUGACUCUCUUUUCGGACUCAGCCCGCCUGCAUCCAGGUGAAAUAAACAGCCUUGUUGC